AUUGAACGCUGGCGGCAUGCCUAACACAUGCAAGUCGAACGGGGCAGCAAUGCCUAGUGGCGGACGGGUGAGGAAUACGUAGGAAUCUGCCCUUAAGUGGGGGAUAACCAGGGGAAACCCUGACUAAUACCGCAUGAUCUCUUCGGAGCAAAGAGGGGGACCGCAAGGCCUCUCGCUUCUGGAUGAGCCUACGUCUGAUUAGCUAGUUGGUAGGGUAAAGGCCUACCAAGGCGACGAUCAGUAACUGGUCUGAGAGGAUGAUCAGUCACACCUGACCUGGGAAACGGUCCGGACUCCUACGGGAGGCAGCACUGGGGAAUAUUGGACAAUGGGCGCGAGGCUGAUCCAGCAAUCCCGCGUGUAGGAAGAAGGCCUUCGGGUUGUAAAGCACUUUAGCCUGGAAAGAAAAAACUUUGGUUAACACCCAAAGUCUUGACGGUACCAGGAGAAUAAGCACCGGCUAACUCUGUGCCAGCCGCCGCGGUAAAAC
rnacentral:rRNA from 1 species